rnacentral:lncRNA from 10 species
AGCGCCUCUGGUGGGCCGCCUCCCGCAGGCCUGGUGUGAGCCUGGGGUCCGUUCUCACAGCUGGAUCUGGGGUCUGAAUGCCGCGCCCUCUGGAGAGCCACAGAUGGGUCUCCGCUGAUGCUUCUCUCAAUUUCCUCUAAGAGCGAGAGCUCCGGGAAAGGAGCCGAUCCUGGUGGAAGACUACAGGUCUGAGUCCACUGGACGAAAAACGAGGUGCGUUAAGAGACCGCGGGAGUGGGGAAAUGGGGAAGUGAGGGUGGGGACUGGGCAAUGGGGGCGGGACGAGAGGUCUGGGGCUGGCGGGGACAGGGCUUAAGAGAGAGCCACCCCUCCUAGCCUUGAAGCUGUACCGAGCUUCCCUGUGAUAUUUUAAAAUGCAAAAGUACAAAAAUUGAAGUAAUGGAACUAUGCGUACGCACCUCCUAGAUUUUUAAAGGUUAACGUGUGACUGUGUUUACUUCAGAUGUUCCUGAAAUAAAUGAAAAUGACCAGUUAAAAUGAAGGAAGAACGCGCUUGCGUCCCUCCUAGAGGUCAAACACUCUUCUGAGGAUAGGUUGUAUGCUCUCAGCGCCUCUUUUUAUUAAAAGUAUUAAGAAGUACUUUUCCAAAUAUUAGAUGUAGUGUGUCAUAUCAUUUAAACGAUUUUUUUUGUUUAAAAUAGUCUUUUAAAAAUAAUCUUUUUAUUUUUAGAUUUUUUUGAGACAGAGUCUCGCUGUGUUGCUCAGGCUGGAGUGCAGUGGCGCCAUCUCCCCUCACUGCAACCUCUGCCUCCCAGGUUCAAGUGAUUCUCCUGCCUCAGACUCCCAAGUAGCUGGGAUUAAAAGCGCUCCUUGGAUUAGAGACCAUCCUGAGGACAUCCUUGGGAGCCAUGUGCUGAAGAUGGCCAAGCCACAGGAUGAAAGGAGCUGCAUCUUUGAGUCACCACUGGAGAAAGGUCUCUCUAAAUGGAUUUGCAGAGACGUCUUCUCGAAUACUCCCCUUCUAAGUUCCACUUGUAAUCCACUUCUUCUAUUCUCCCAGCAAUCAAUGUGGUUUGGGGAAAUUCCAGAAUCUCAUAAUACCUUGGUCAUGGGUAAAUAAGGAAAGGACCUUUACAUACAUGUGAUGCAAAGCAGAUCAAAACAAGCAGAGCAGCCUAAGAGCAGCAAGACCCCAAAGGAUAAGGGAAGUCCUGCAGAAGAGCAGAGCGGUGCUGCAAAGGCAGGCAGGUAAGAGCCCACGAUGGUUGUUAAAAGCCCCCAGGUUCAGCCUUCUUUAAUUGUGUGGUCAGCCUGCCAUCAACCCGAGGCCUCCCUCUGCUGGGCAAAUUUGGGAACACAUUGAGAAAUCCUUACACGUAAUUCCUUCUCUUCAUGUUCCUGGUGAGCAUUUUUCCCAUUGGGUUUCCAUACUCUGCCCUCUUGAAGUCCUGCACCCUGACAUUGCAGUGUCAUUCCUCUUCUACUGAAGUCUACAACUAUUAGCUUAUUGUCUCUAGCAAGUCUCCCUUUAGCUACAAAUAUCAUUCAGAGUUUUACCUUUCAGAAACUUUCUCCAUGAGCAUUCUGGAGUAGACUCUAGGUGCACUAGGUGCAGUUAGAAAAAGUUCUGAUUUGUUGGUGGAGCUAUAGGAGGAGAGACAAUGGUGGGCUGGAGAAGGGUGUCUACAUGCAGAGAAACUGACUGGAAACUCAGAGAGAUGAUGGGGAUUAAAAUAAUCCUAUUGAAUCUGCACAAAAGUGUUUUAUUAUAAUUGAUCCUGAACUAUGUAAAGGUAAGCUCCAGUGAGUAGUUACAGUCUGUCCCUAAGAUGGACUCUUUCUUUUUGCUUUUAUUUUUAUUGUAUUUAUUUUAUUGUAUUUUUUUUUUCUAAAGACAGGGUCUUGCUAUGUUACCCAGGGUGGUCUCAAGUGGUCCUCCUGGCAUCAAAUGAUCCUCCCACCUCAGCCUCCCAAAGCGCUAGGAUUACAGGUGUGAGCUACCACACCCAAAUGAUUCUUUCUUUUCAAAUACAGAGUUCAGCAGCAAUUUUAAAGAAGUACUGAACUCUACUGCCUGGAAGAUGGAAUGGCCCUCACAAUUCUUCCAGGCAAGCUCUGCACUCAGUGGUAUGGACCACAAGGCAAGCCCAUUAAGGGGUUAAAUUACUGACAAACAAUAAUUUCUAAAUAUGAACAUUUCAGGAGGAACUAAGAUGGCUCCUUCUUGGAGAAUAAGUUGGCCGGCUUCUCUAGUUAUCAGACUAUCAGAUGGGGAGGAAAGAGCCCCUCUGUCCCGGUGAGACAGGACCCGCCAGCGCCCAAGCUCUAAGGCUUUCUGAUGAGCAAAUGGGGUUUCCAUCUUUCUAGCUUCAGGACUCGUAACUACUCAGAUUAUUUCCUUCAAUCUGGAUAUUCAAGACAAGAACAGUUCAUGGUGUUGCGAAGGCCCAGAUUUAAAUCACAUAUGCAAAGAUACUGACAUUCAGUGGAGGGUCACUUAGAUUAUAGCCAGAUGACUUUCCCUAAAUUGAUAGCUCAAAUGGUAGUUGUGGAUAUUUUUGCUCUUAGUUACUUGCAUAGUCACUUGCCAGAGGUAAUAAAGUUUUAGUGUGGUUGUGGAAAAUAAUGGCCAUAUAUUUAGGAACAAAAUUUUAAUGAUGAUUGAAAACUGAAUUAGCUUUAACAUGUGAAUAUGCUCAGGGGACAUAGGACCACAGAUCUCUGUUCCUUCCUAUUGCCACUUCUUUCCUUUCCCUGGUAGCAUGCUUCCAUUACCCAUUACUUCAAACACUGUUUCUGUGUCUCCAACUCCCUUGCAUCAUGGUCUUUUCAUUAUUCAGACACAGACACAGCUCGAUUAUGGGUAAACUUUUUUCUGUGGCUACAGAAGAGUUGAGCAUGGCUGAAGCAUCGUUGAGCAUGACUGAAGAAAAACACCUAACCUUGAAUUUUUUGAUCAAUAUAAAUUUAUAUCCACAGAUUUUACCUGACUGAUCUUCAUUGCCCACCAGUCCUACAAAGUUUGCCAGAUUGGUUCUGUUUCCACUUUACAUACUCAGCAAAUACUUAUUAAGCACACACUUUGUGUUAGGCUUAAGUGUAGAUAUUGAAGAGGCACUGGUGAAUGAGCAGAGGCUCUGCCCCCAUGGGACCUGCAUGCUAUUUGGCAGCUCUUUCAGACAUUCUCCUCUCUCAAAGCUUUGAGCCCCUCUAUACCCCUAUAAGCACCAUCUUUUCUUUAAUUUUUAUUUUUAAUGGACACAGUUGUAUAUAUUUAUGGGGUACUAUGUGAUAUUUUGAUACAUGUAUAGAUUGUGUAAUGAUCAAAUCAGGAAUUAGAUCAGUUUUUUGUCUUUUUUUUGGUAAAAGAUAAUCUUUUAUACUCUUUUGGUCCUGAAAAAUGGAGGAGUGCCAUAUUAGGAUUCCAACAGAAAAAGUUAAACCAAAAGAAUAUAUGAAGGGCAUAUAAUGAAGGGAUAUCUACAAAGUUGUGACAGGGCUAAUGGGAAGAACAGGGGAUAUGAGGCAGCCCAAGAUCAGCAACAGUAGUGAUCCAGUGUCACCCUGUGCUGGUUAUGAAGAUUUAGUCUCUUCUAUCUUUUCCAAUACCGCUUUGCUAGCCACCUCCCCAAACCCUACCAAUAGAAAGCACUGGAGGAAGACUAGAGGGCUGGAAGGAUGUGAAAAGAUUUCCCACUUUGUUUGUUGACAUCCUCACAGAAUGGGUUCUUCAACCUGGCAGUGGCAGUUGAAUCCAGUAACAGCAGUUGGCUUCAGUUUGGAGAUCUUCCAUGCUCCUAAAAUCAGCCUCAUCAUGCCUCUAUCUACAGACAUAUCAUCAUCAGUGGUCCAGCAUACACUCCUCAGAGGUCCCAGUUCUGGGGAUCUCUUCAAAGAAUCUUUUCCUUGUUCUCCUAAACCUGGAGGUGGUAGUUGCUUUCUGUCAUUACUAUCUCUGAUACGUUUGUCCACUUUUCCAUUUUCAGUCCUCUUAUAACUAGUUAACAACCAUUCCCAUAAAAUUCUUUGUUCAAUUUCAGUGCAAUUUCUAGCUCCCAGUUAUACCCUGACAGACACACCUUUAAAUCUGAAGAGGCAAUGGGAGGGAACCUGUAACCAGAGCUAGGCCAGAGCUGGGACUGUGGAGGAAGAGCUGCCCACCAAGCAGGGGGGUGAUGCAGGGAAUAAGUACACUAACCUCUCUCUCCUUUGCCAUCUACAUUCCUGCUGGGCUGAUCACUGGCCAAAUCCAGCUGUUGCAAGAGGGCAGGGCUGCCCAGCUAAUGCUAUCUGUAGAAGCUGGGCUUCUGGGGCACAGAGCAAGUCAGAGACAGGCAGAACAGGGAUGUGGGUUUGGACCAAACACUGAAUAAACCAGAUCAAGGAUUCUUCUAUCAAGACAAGUUUAUAUACUUGCAGCUUGAUCCCAUUGUUUCCCUUAGAUAACUGUGCACUUGUUUUUGUCUGCCCUCUUUCCUGUGUCUACACUCUUCCUGUCUUAUUCUAUUUACACAUAGCUCAGUCUUUUCCAAUUAAAAAAAAAAAAAAAAAGCUUUCCCUCUCCCAAAUCUCCAUGCAGCUGCUGACUUCUCUCUUCCAAAGCCACACUGUGGGAGAGUCAGUUACACCUCCUGACCUCUGACAGGUGCAACACACUAUAGUGAGGCUUCUGCCCUUGGUAUUCCUCUGGCUCCAUUAUUUACAAGGUCACUAAUGACUUCCUAUUUCUAAAUCCAGAGUGCCUUUUUAGUUAUCUUCCUUGCCUUCUUGGCAUCUCUAGAUAACAAUACUUGUCUCAUUCUAACUUUUGUCUCUCCUUACAGCUCUUUCAUUCAUAAUUCAUUGUUAUUCAGUUGGAGCCUUGAUGGUGUUAGGGAGAAGCAGCAUUCUGUAGUCAAAGUGUUAAGCCUCAGUUUAUUAGCAUGCCUAUAUCUUGGGGCUGGGACCGUCACAAGUGUUUAUAAUGAUACAACUCCUCCUCCUCCUCCUUCUCCUCCUCCUCUUCCUCAAGUGUUUAUAAUGAUACAACUCCUCCUCCUCCUUCUCCUCCUCCUCUUCCUCAAGUGUUUAUAAUGAUACAACUCCUCCUCCUCCUCCUUCUCCUCCUCUUCCUCAAGUAUUUAUAAUGAUACAACUCCUCUUCCUCCUUCUCCUCCUCCUCAGACCUUUGCUCCUUUCCUGGCUGCACCAUUUCCAAUUUAUUUUCAUGAAGCUCUGAUCCCUGUUGACUAAUUUUCUUCCCUUAAGUGAGACAGAAAGCCUAGAUGAGGCUGCAGUGGGAAGAAUUACCUUCUCCCAGCUGGGAUAAGACUCUGGCAAAAUGUUUUCCCCUUGAGAGUAGGCCUUUGUUUUGAAGAAGGUUCUGGGGUGUAUUUCAUAAUAAUUCUUCUCUCCCUGCCAAAGCCACAAGAGGAUCCUUCUCAGAUCUUCACUGCAGGAACCUGGUGGGCUUUCUGAUGCCCACAAAAGUGUGGGAGCUUCUCACUCUCAUGGGCAUUCACAGUUGGCCUCCAGCUUUUUGUCAGAGUUACCAAUUUAAAUGUUCUCAAAUGUGAUACUGUCUCAACUUCCAGGACAUCACACACUCAUGAUUUUCUACUAUCCUGACAUUUGCAGUCUUUUUAGCAGAUCUCCCUCCCUCUCCCUGCACCAUGGGUAUUGGUCAUCUCAGGAUCUGUCCCAGGCUUUCUACUCUUCAUGCCCUUUGAGACAACACAUGAUCUGACCUGCCCUUUCAGGAAGAAAUGUUCUGUCUACCUACUUGCUCCAGUUAAAAACCCUAGUGUCAUCUUUGACCCUUCUCAUCCCUACAUCUAAUCUGUUGAUUCUACCUCCUAAUUUUCUCUCAAACGCAUCUAUUUUUCUUCAAUUUCAGUGCUACUCUCUUGCUCUAAUUGUACAUCAUCUUUUUUAGAAUUACUGUGACAUUUUCUUGCCUCCAGUUCUGCCUCAGUCCAUCCACUUCACAGCUAAAUUUUGGAUGUACACUUUUGAACUAUUACUGUAGCAAAAGUAAUAUGUAAUAACUGUAAUGCAGAAAUAUAAAAUAUGCAAUAUAAAAGAAAUACAUGCAUAAAUGAUCCCAACACUAAGGAAACAAUAUUGAUCAAUAAUUAAAUAAUUGGUGGAUAGUGAAUGACAACAUAGAGCAAAGUGUUCAGUAGGUUUUAAAAGCUGUGGGUUCAAUAAAUGCUCAUGAAGCUUGUUCAGGGGCUUGCAAAAUAUGUAAUUUGAAUUUUUAAAGAAAAGGAAUUUCAGAUAAGAAAAAACAUACAUAACAUGAAACAAUACUUGUGGUGGUUUCAGGGAGGUCAUGUUCUCACAUUCAGGUGCCAAGGCCACCGUACAUCCGGACACUGAGGCCACGGACUUGGUCUGCAACCUCCAUGACAGCCUUGUAGAUUUGAAACCGAACUCCAAGGAGCAGUUGUGCUGUGAGUUCCAGAGUUUGGGGACAGAGGAAACACCAUUCUUUGGAAGUCUAACUUCCUUAAGAGGUGUCCCUUAGACAUCUAGUGUCCGGUGUUAUGGAGGUCCUUGUGCUCUGAGGAAGGAGCCCCUUGUUGAUUGAUGGAGCAAAAUUUUUUUAAACAAGGAACUGUACCCGUAUCUGGGCAUGAAGCCAGAGAAAUCCCUGAGGGCAGGGCCAAGGCUCUCAAAGAUUUUCAGGGAGAUUCCCAGCCUUUUUAAGUCUCGCCUAUUCUUUUUUUUUUCUCUAACUGGCCAUUUUGUAUAUAUGGAGGUUAUUGAUUUUUUUGCUUUUAUAUCCUGAUAUUUUAAUAACUGUUCAUUUUUUAGUUAUUUGAAUUAUCUACAUUGAUUAUUUGAAUGUUCUUUUUUUUGUUUUUUUGAGACGAAGUCUCGCUCUGUCGCCCAGGGUGGGGUGCAGUGACAGGAACUUGGCUCACUGCAACCUCUGCCUCCUGGGUUCAAGCGAUUCUCCUGCCUCAGUCUCCUGAUUAGCUGGGAUUACAGGUGCCCGCCACCACACCCAGCUAAUUUUUGUAUUUUUACUAGAGAUGAGGUUUCACCAUGUUGGCCAGUCUGGUCUCAAACUCCUGACCUCAGGUGAUCCACCCACAUCGGCCUCCCAAAGUGCUGGUAUUACAGACAUGAGCUAUUGCACUUGGGCUUUGAAUUUUCUACGUAUCUGACUUCUACGAAGAAAACUAUAAUGUAUUACUCAGAUAAAUUAAACAGGAAAACUAAAUAAUGGAGGAGUAUAUUUACAGUUGAAGCGGUCAAUAUUUUAAAGGUAUUAAUUGUCCCCAAACUGAUCUACAAAACCAUUGUAAUCCUAAUCAGAUUCCCAAUAAGCUUUAUUAUAGAAAUUGACAAACAGGGUUCAAAUUUAAUACACAAAUCCAAGGGCCCAAAAUAAACAAAUCUGUUGCUUUAUUAAAUAUCAAAACUGAUAAAAUGACAAUAAUCAGGGCAGUGUUGUCCAAAAAUAGACAAACGAAUGGAACAGGCUCAAACAAAUAUGGACAUUGAUUUACAUCUAAAGUGGCACCAUACAACAAUGGUGAAAGGACUCUUGUAAAUAAAUGGCAUGGGACAAUUGUAUAGCCUUUUAAACAGAAAAAGAACAAAAAGGAAAAAAAAAGAAACUUGACCCCCUACUUCACACUAUACACAAAAAACAAUUCCAGGGGAACUAACAUGAAAAGCAAAAUAAAGUUAAACAUGAAAAGCAAAAUAAAGUAUAUGGUAAAAAAUUUAUCUUACCCAAAAAGAGGUCUAGCCUUUGCCCUCAGCUACUGGGAGAUGAAUUUUAGACCCUUGAAAUGUUCUCACUGAUAAGUGUGUCUUUGUUUACCUGGAGGUUUUGACCACCACACAGUCAACAAUGUGAUUUAUAAUAGGAACUUUGAGCCACACAGUAUCAGCUCUACCUGUGGAGGUAGACUAAAAGAUCGGCCAUGUGAGCAGUCAACCAUGGCAGGCCAUUAAAACUGCACACUGAGGCUCGGGUGAAAUACAGUUCUCUUGUAUACGGUUUCUACAUGGUUUUAGUUCCUGUGGUCUACUGCAGUCCAAAAAUAAUAAACGGUAAAUUUCAGAAAUAAACAUUCACCUAACUUUUAUACAGUAUAUUCUUAACAAUUAUUCUAAUUUAUUGUUAUUAAUCUCUUACUGUGCCUAAUUUAUAAAUUAAGCCUUAUCAUAGCUGUGUCUGUAUAGGAAAAAACAGCUAUAUAGAGUUCAGUACUAUCCAUGGUUUCAGACAUCCACUGGAGGUCCUGGAACAUAUGUUUUGUGCAUAAGUGGGGACUGCUCUGUACGUCAUGUGUAUUGUCACACAUUAAUGCUGGGAAAGUAAUACUGUUCAUAUUACUGGGAGAGGACAACUGGAAGCUCAUAUUUGGAACUUGCCUGGAUUGUGCCUAUAUUAGUUUCCUAGGGCUGCUGUAACAAAGAGCUAGAAGCUAGGGUGGCUUAAAACAACAAAUAUAUUCUCUUGUAGUUCUGGAAGCUAGAAAUCUGACAUGAAGGUAUCAUUAGAUCUAUGCUUCCACUGAAGCCUGUAGGAAAAUCCUUCCUUGACUCUUCCUAGCUUCUCGUACUUGCUGGCAACCUUUGACAUUCCUUGACCUGCAGCUGCAUAACCUCAGUCUCUGCCUGUGUGUGUCUGUCUUCACGUGACCACCUUAGAAGAAUACUAGUUCUAUUAAAAAAUAUAUAUAUACUACUUCUUCUAAGUCACCAGCCCAUCAUACUGUACUAUAACCUCAUCUUAACUAAUUAUAUCUGCAACUAUCCUAUUUCCAAAUAAGGCCACAAUUCUGAGGUACUGGGAGUUGGGACUUUAAACAUAUCUUCUGGGGGCAAGGGAGAUCUGCAUACAAUUCGAUCCAUAAUACUGCCUUGUGUGUUUCUUUUCUCAGCUGAUUUUAAUCUUUAUUCCUUGAGUUGUUUCCCCUUUUCAACUAUUACAAACAAUGAAUUUUGCUGUGUAUGUGUCUUGGUAUAUAUGUGCACACAUAUCUGCUGUUUGUAUACCUCAGAGUGAAAUUGUUGGGUCAAAUGCUAAAAUCUUUUUAAAAGUAGUUGUAUAAUUUUACAUUGCAUUGGAAUGACAUAAUAAGCUAUAUAUCCUAUAAUAAAUUGUAACCAUGAGGCUAACAGCUUCAGCAAGUUCUGUGAGUCCUUUUAGCAAAUUACUAACCUAAGGUUGAUUGGGAACCACAGACCUCCCAACUUAUAAUUGGUGUUAGAAGUGAGGGUAGUCUUGAGAACUAAUUUCACAAGAAGGUAUUAUAAAAUAAGAUCUUCAUGACCUUGAAAUAGAAAAUGAUUUUUUAAAUAAGAUACAAAAAAGGUUGUGCAUAAAAGGGCAGUGUGCUUAAUUUGAGUACACUAAAUUAAUGACUUUAAUGCAUCAUGAGAUAUCAUUGGCUGGGUGCAGUGGUGGCUCACACCUCUAGUCCCAACACUUUGGGAGGCCAAGGUUGAUGGAUUGCUUGAGCUCAGGAGUUUGAGACCAACUUGGGCAACAGCACCAUCUCUACAAAAAAAUACAAAGAUUAGCUGGGCAUGGUGGCCUGCACAUGUAGUCCCACCUACUAAGGAGGAUAAGAUGGGAGGAUCGCUUGAUCCUGGGAGGUGGAGGCUGCAGUGAGCUGUGAUUGUGCCACUGCACUCCAGCCUCUGACAGAGUGAAGACAAGUUACAGAGGAAAUACCUGCAACACAUAAAAUGGAUAAAGGGUUCGUGAGCAAAAUUUAAAAACUUAAAACAGAAAAGACAGGCCAGGUUUGGUGGCUCACACCUGUAAUCUCAGCAUUUUGGGAGGCCGAGGCAGGUGGAUCACCUGAGGUCAGGAGUUUGAGACCAGCCUGGCCAACAUGGUGAAACCCCGUCUCUAUCAAAAAUACAAAAAUUAGCAGGGCGCGGUGGUAUGCACCUGUAGUCCCAGCUACUUGGGAGGAGGAGAAUUUCUUGAACCCAGGAGGUGGAGGUUGCAGUGAGCUGAGACAGCGCCACUGCACUCCAACCCGGGUGACACAGCAAGAGUCCACCUCAAAAAAAAAGAAAGGACAAAAAGGACAAAAAGACAGCUAUCUUAAACCAACAAGAAAAAACACAAUCUUUUUGGCCUAAAUUGUGUUCCCCCAAAAUUGAUGUUGAAACUCUAACACCCAAUGUGCCUAUAUUUGGAGAUAGGGAUUUUGGGACUUUAUGGAGAUAUUUAAGGUUAAAUGAGGUCAUAAGAGUAGGCCAGUAGUCUGAUAGAUCUGGUGUCCUUAUAAGAAAAGGAAGAGACAUGAGGUCAUUUUAUGGGCAUAUGAAGAGGCCACAUGAGGACACAAAAGGCGACUGCUGUGGUUUGAAUAUGAGAUGACAUCUCACAUCUGCCAUAACAGUAAGAAGGCCCUUGCCAGAGGUGGGCCCCUCGACCAUAGGCUUUAUAGCCACCAGAAUUGUAAGAAAUAAAUCUGUAUUCUUUAUAAAUUAUUUGGUCUCUGGUAUUCUGUUCAGCACCAAACAAUCUAAGACAGCAACUAUCUUCAGGUCAAUAAGAGAGCCCUCACUAGAAACUGAAUCUCUUGGCACCUCAAUUUAGGAUUUCUGGCCUGGCCUUUAGAACUGUGAGGUAAUAAACUCCUUUUGUUCAAGCUACCUAGUCUAGUAUUUUUGUUAUGGCAGCCCAAGUCGACUGAUAUACAAUCCAAUUAAGAAAAAAUGGGCAAAAGAUGUAAAAUAAAACCAUAAUGAGAUAAUACUGCACAUCUGCCACAAUGGAUAACAUCUUCAAAAGAUUAACAAUUUUAAUUGGAAAAAAAUAUUGGGAAGUAUAUGGAAGAACAGGAAUUCCCAGCUAGAUUCCAUCAACAUUAGGUUUGUGAGGUUCAUCCAUGCUGUUUAUAACUGUGGUUUUAAUUUUCAUUUCAUCGCAUGUAAACCUAAUAUCACCACUUUCAAAAAGAGUUUAGCAUUUGACCCAACAAUUCCUCUCCUAGGUAUACAAACAAAAUAUGUAUUCCUAUAUAUACCAAGACACAUACACAGGAAUAUUCACGGUAUUGUUUAUAUUAGCUGAAAAAGGGAAGCAAAUAUGCAUCAACAGUAGACACCUAAAUUGUUGCACUCAUAACAUGGAAUAUUACAUAACAAUAAAAAUGAAUUAAAGUUAUACACAGCAACACAGAUGAAUCUAUUCAAACCUAAUGUUCUGGAGUGAAAUAUGUCAGGUACAUAGGAUUACAUUUGUUUUAUUUCCAUUUUAUAUGUUUCAAAAACAGGCAUACUAAAUUACAGCAUUGGAAAUCAAAAUAGGGGUUAUGUUUAGGGCAGAUGGAGUGAUAAUGUGACUGGAAGCAAGCAUCAGGCGGCUCUGGGAGGGUUGGCUGAUUUUCUGUUUUUUUACUUGUGUGGCAAUUAUUAUGGUGUUCACUUUGUGUUCAUUUAUUGAGCUUUGCAUUUUUGUUUUGCUGUGGUUUUCUGUUUAUAUGUUAUGCUUCUCAGUUUAAAGAAUGUUGAAAUCUUCUAAUACGAAAUUUUUUUUCAAUGAGAAGGAUUUUAAGCAUCCAGAAUCAAUUUUAAAAUCUCCAAUUUGCUUUAUAUGUAGGUUUAUGGACUGCUUAACUGCUACUCAUUUUUUCCUUCAUUUAUCAAUAGUGAAAUAUGAAAUUAAAAUAAUGACUAUUUGUGGCAAAAUUAGGGACUAUGUAGCAUAUUAACAACUUUAUAAAUAAAAGAAUAAAUCAACUCACCUGGGAGUUGUUACUGUCAUUGACCUAAUGCUAUUUCCCAUGGUACUCCUUGUCCCCAUUGAGAGACAUGAGAUACUGCAGAUUUAUGGGUCACUUUCAACAUGUCUCCUCCAGGCCUCAUUUUAGAGAAGCAUAACAUCAUGAGGUUCUAUACAGGCAAGAUCUAGGCUUGUGUCCUUGAACCUUGCAUUCCCUCUCAAGAGCCAACCAAUAAUUGAAUGAUCCUAUAAAAAACACAGAAACACAGAGAAUGGUAGCAGAAAGCGGAUGCUUACCAAACCUAUUUUCUCUUUUUCUAAGCAAGGAAUAAGAAUAACUUACCUUCCUCCCUUGGAGUUAGGAGUUCUUAUGUAGAAAGGGAGGCAGAGUGACCUUCAAGAGAGUUUGGAAGGGGGAGUGAUAAAUCAGUUUAAAGAGAGCACCCACUGAUUCUUAGAUAACUUAUUCUACUUUCCUUCUCACUCUUUUGCAUUGACCAUGGCUUAGAAUAUAUUUGAGGAAAAGCAUACUGUCCAUAAGGUAUUAUUGCCCUUUAAAGCUGUUGGGGGGUACUAUGGGAUGGUAUUCAGUGAGAGCAGGACAGAGUCUCUACAGAAUUUUCUCUGACAAAACAAAAACUAAAUGACUUCCAAGGCUUCUCUAGCUCUAAGCAUUCCACAAUUCUUUGGAAAGCUGGAAUCUAAAAUUGCCUUAAAAUUAAAAAAUAAGAACAGUUAGGGUGUACAGUCUUUACCAUAUUUAUAUAGAAUCAUCAGUCUUCAGUGUGAUACUGUGCUUGAACCAACAGAAGGACUGAUGAAACAGAAGACAAAGUCCAGGUCUGGCGCCAUGGCUCACACCUGUAAUCCCAGCACUUCGGGAGGCCGAGGUGGCCAGAUCACUUGAGGCCAGGAGUUUGAGACCAGUCUGGCCAACAUGGUGAAACCCCAUCUCUCCUAAAAAUACAAAAAUUAGCCAGGCCUGGUGGCAGGUGCCUGUAAUCCCAGCUACUCGGGAGACCAGAGGCAUGAGAAUCGCUUGAACUCAGGAGGCAAAGGUUGCAACUGAGGUCAUGGCACUGUACUCCACCAUGGGUGACAGAGUAAGACUCUGUCUAAAUAAAUAAAUAAAUAAAUAAAAUAAUAAAAUACAACCUAAAACCUAGCAAUCUCAGCCCUGGAAUUCUAUUCAAUUGCACCAUGUUCAGCAGUGGUAACUGGAAACAUCAAUGCUUAUCAAUAAGAAAUGGAUGAAUAACUUAUGCUAUUCCAUGUGAAGGAUUUCUUUUUUCAUGACAGGGUUUUAGAAAAGUUUGGUUAAGAGAAAAGCAACAUGCAGAAGUGUAUAUAACAUCGUUGUAAAAAAUUUUUAUUAUUUUUGUUUUGAGACUGGGUCUCAUUCUGUCACCUAGGCUUGAGUGCAGUGGCACGAUCUCUGCUCACUGCAGCCUCUACCUCCCAGGUUCCAGUCAUCUUCCCACCCCAGCCUCCCAAGUAGCUGGGACUAUAAGUGCGUGCCACUGGGCCUUGCUAAUUUUUUGUAUUUUUUGUCAAGAUGGGAUUUCACCAUGUUGCCCAGGCUGGUCUUGAACUCCUGAGCUCAAGUAAUCUGCCCAUCUGGCUUCCUAAAGUGCUGGGAUUACAGAUGUGAGCCACUGCGUCCAGGCUUUGUUUUUUAAAUUAAUAACCCUAAUCAAAAGACAAAACAAUUAUGCAUACAAGGCCAGGCACAGUGACCGUAAUCCCAACACUUUGGGAGGUCGAUGAUCACUUGAGGCCAUUUCUAGACCAGCUUGGACAACAUGGUGUGACUGUCUCCACAAAAAAUAAAAACAAAAAGCCCGGCUUGGUGGUGCGUGCAUGCAAUCCCAGCUACUCCGGAUGCUGAGGCUGCAGGAUAGCCUGAGCCCAGGAGUUGGAGGUUACAGUGUGCUGUGAUUAUGCCACUGCAGUCCAGUCUGGGCAACAGACUGAGACCCAGUCUCAAAAGAUAACGUGUUUUUUUUUUUUUUUUUUUAAAAAAACAAAACCACAAGUAUGCAUGUAUAUAGAUAGGUGUAUGUAAAAUACUUAGUUCAAAGAAAAACAUGUAUAUUUCUCACAAAAAUAGGUGAGAAUUUUUGUUUUAAAGGAUAAACCUAGGUAGCUACAUAUUAGUUUGAGGAAGGGGGAACAGGGAUGUGAUGUGCCUGUAUCCCUGACUUUAGACGAUGGAAGGAGCUAAGCAAAACAAUUGAAAAAAGACCGUUUGAAAAAUACAACUGAUUAUUAACUCAUAUGCACACACGCAAAAAUAAACUUUUAGAAUUGAACUGCACUAAGUAAAAGUGAGUAAACUUGGCUCAUCAUAUACUCUUGUCAGAUGUAAACAAAAAAGUCCAAUUAUUAAAAUCUGACCCCCAGAAUUAAAAUUGCAAAAGCUUAAAGGGGCAGUUCUGAGAAAAGGAUCUUCAGUUUUGAAUGUGUGGGCUCCACCAGGGUUGAAAAUCCUGCACGACUGAUGAAACACGAUCCAGUUAAGCACAGUAAUUUUCAAAUAUCCAAUCAGGGCGCUUCCGUUUCUAAAAACAGAGAAACCGAGCAAGGGAUUUUGGGUUGCAGCUCUAAAACUCCAACAAACUAAGCUCCUUUGUCCUGACAAGGGCCUAAACCAAGUCGACAGCCCGUAAGUGCACCCAUGGUAAGGCGCUGCACAAAGAAAGCAUUUUGCGUUUCAAAGCUUUGUCAUGAUGGCGCUGCAGAAAGCAAGCGAGCUAGGCCUACCUGGCGGGGCUUUCAGAGGACGCCAACGUGGGCGCCAGCCACGCCAGCAGGGUCACCGUCCUUCCCAAGGACAGACAGCUCGCUAGCCACUCCUGUGGAGAGGGCGUGGUUAAGCCAUAUAUUUUGCCAACUAUCCCAGAAGCAUUUCUUAGGACCACCCAAUUUCGGAAAAUGCUACUUUAGCAAUAUUGACCCCAAAACGCAAUAUCCCCACUUUAACCUUGUAUAAUAAAAAGCCUCAAGCCUGGGACUGGGCUUCAACCUUGGUUCAAUACGGUUAUGACUAAUUAGCUUGGAGUCGUGAGACGCGGGACUUCCGGCUACCGAAACCCAGGUGACUUUAAAACUCGAUUUUAACUCGGUGCAUUUGAAUUCACCUUGCUAUCUUUGAUAGAUUGAGUAGUAAAUUCUUACUAGAUGAGGCUAUGUUAAAGUUCUAUCGACUCUCCAAGUGAUUCUAAUAUAAUUGAGGGCGUGUUGCAUUUGCUUGGGGGAUUUCAUCUGUGUACUACAGCUCUUUUCCUGAAAUGCGUAGGUGGCUCUUAAAAGAGCCGUUGGGUUACUAGAAGAAACUUCUAACUGAAUUUACUUUUUCUUGGGUGCCGCUUUCUUGGGUUUGGCAGUCUUUGGCUUCGUCACCCUAGCCUUGGCCGCCUUGGUGGCCAGCUGCUUGCGCGGCGCUUUGCCACCGGUGG